UUUUGUCUUGUAAAUGGAAUGAUGGAGAUUUAAACCUCUUCCAGAGUAUCAAUUGGAGGGCAAGUCUGGUGCCAGCAGCCGCGGUAAUUCCAGCUCCAAUAGCGUAUAUUAAACUUGUUGCAGUUAAAAAGCUCGUAGUUGAAUUUCUGCCGUUUUUUAUUAGUUUCCUUACGGUAAAUUAUUAUAAAUCGGCAUUUGUCGUUAAAAGUAUUAAAAUAUUUUUAUCGAUAAUGUUACUUUGAGAAAAUUAGAGUGCUUAAAGCAGGCCUAGCCUUGAAUAAUUUAGCAUGGAAUAACAUAGUAGGACUUUGGUUCUAUUUUGUUGGUUUUAGGAACCAAAGUAAUGGUUAAUAGGAACAGUUGGGGGCAUUCGUAUUUAACUGUCAGAGGUGAAAUUCUUAGAUUUGUUAAAGACGAACUAC
rnacentral:rRNA from 1 species